rnacentral:piRNA from 1 species
UNCAUGUGCCAUGGUGGUUUGCUGUGCC